GCGUAUAGCUCAGUUGGUUAGAGCGCCACGUUGACAUCGUGGAGGUCAUAGGUUCGAGUCCUAUUACGCCC
rnacentral:tRNA from 1 species